rnacentral:rRNA from 1 species
GACGUAGGGUGCAAGCGUUGUCCGGAUUUAUUGGGCGUAAAGAGCUCGUAGGCGGCUUGUCGCGUCGUCCGUGAAAACCCACAGCUCAACUGUGGGCUUGCGGUCGAUACGGGCAGGCUAGAGUUCGGUAGGGGAGACUGGAAUUCCUGGUGUAGCGGUGAAAUGCGCAGAUAUCAGGAGGAACACCGGUGGCGAAGGCGGGUCUCUGGGCCGAUACUGACGCUGAGGAGCGAAAGCGUGGGGAGCGAACAGG